CCCUAGCCCUGAUGGAAGUGGAAAUCCUCCCGUUUUUCAGGGAGAUUGAAGCGAACAGCAGGAAACAGC
rnacentral:sRNA from 1 species